rnacentral:rRNA from 1 species
AUGGCGUCGCCGCCGGAGGGGGUGGAGCCGGCGGUGAUCCACGCGUGGUCGGCGCCGCGCUCCCUCAGCACCAGCCUCAUGUAUUCCUUCUCCGAGAGGGAUGACAUGGAUGUGCUUGACGAGCCUCUCUACGCUAAUUUCCUGCGUGUCACUGGUGUUGACAGGCCCUACCGCCAGGAGCUUCUCUCUAAAAUGGAUCCAGAUGGCAACAAAGUUGUCAAAGAAGUGAUUUUUGGACCAGGAGAGAAAGCAUAUCGUUACUGCAAGCACAUUGCGAAGCAGCGCCUCCCUAAUCUCACAGGUGACCUGAUGAAGAAGGGAAAACAUUUCAUAUUAAUACGUAACCCUAUGAAUAUCCUGCCAUCAUUUGAUAAAGUUGUUCCACCAUCCUUCCUGGAGCUCGGUGUAGCAGAACUUGUUGCAAUAUACAGUGAGUUGUGUGAGCUUGGGAGCCCUCCACCUGUGAUAGAUGCAGAUGAUCUCCGAAGAGAUCCUGAGGCCGUCUUGAGUGGACUCUGUGAGGACCUGGGUAUUCCUUUCCAGCCACAAAUGCUCAAAUGGAAAGCUGGCCCAAGGGACUUUGAUGGUAUUUGGGCCCCCUGGUGGUAUGAAAGUGUACAUACAUCUACGGGCUUCUCGAAAUCCCGUCGUUACCCUAUGACUUUUCCAUUUGCAUUGUAUGACCUACUUGAGCAAAGCUUGCCCUUCUACAAUAUGCUGAAGCGCCAGGUACGGAGAACAACAGGAUCCCUGCUGCCACCACCGCCUGAUCCUCCUCUUCCUGUACCAGAAAAUAAAAAAAUUCUUGUUUGGGUUGGAGAUGAACUUUUGCCACGUGAUAGUGCAAGGGUUUCAGUGUUUGAUUCAGUUGUACAAGGAGGGGAUGCUGUGUGGGAAGGAUUGCGUAUAUAUGAUGGGAAAGUAUUCAAACUUGAAGAACACUUGGAUAGAUUGUUUGAUUCUACAAAAGCUAUGGCCUUCAGCAAUGUGCCCAGUCGUGAUUGGAUUAAGGAUGCAAUAUUUAAGACUCUUAACGCAAAUGGGAUGUUCAAUAAUGCACAUAUAAGGCUCACUCUCACCCGUGGGAAGAAGGUGACAUCUGGAAUGAGUCCAACUUUCAAUCUAUAUGGGUGUGUCUUGAUUGUACUUGCAGAGUGGAAACCACCAGUUUAUGAUAACUCACAUGGGAUAAAGUUGGUAACUGCCGCCACACGUCGUAAUUCUCCAAAUAGCGUAGAUUCGAAGAUACAUCACAACAAUCUUAUUAACAACAUUCUGGCAAAGAUAGAAGGUAAUCUUGCACAGGCUGAGGAUGCUAUCAUGCUAGAUCAAGAUGGUUUUGUAUCAGAAACAAAUGCAACAAACAUAUUUAUGGUUAAGAAGGGCAUUGUAUUGACACCUCAUGCGGACUACUGCCUUCCAGGAAUUACCCGUGCAACUGUCAAGGAUCUUGUUGUGAAAGAAAACCUGGUAUUACAUGAACGGCGAAUUAGUCUAUCUGAAUUUCAUGCUGCAGAUGAGGUGUGGACAACCGGAACAAUGGGUGAAAUUACACCGGUUGUGAUGAUUGACGGGCGUGAAAUUGGUGAUGGGAAAAUCGGUCUGGUCACAAGACAAAUCCAGAGCGCAUACAAAGUCCUGACAGCAGGGUUGGGAGUAACAAUUCCCAGGAAUGCGGAGGCAUAA